AGCGUACACGGUGGAUGCCCUGGCAGUCAGAGGCGAUGAAGGACGUGCUAAUCUGCGAUAAGCGUCGGUAAGGUGAUAUGAACCGUUAUAACCGGCGAUUUCCGAAUGGGGAAACCCAGUGUGUUUCGACACACUAUCAUUAACUGAAUCCAUAGGUUAAUGAGGCGAACCGGGGGAACUGAAACAUCUAAGUACCCCGAGGAAAAGAAAUCAACCGAGAUUCCCCCAGUAGCGGCGAGCGAACGGGGAGCAGCCCAGAGCCUGAAUCAGUGUGUGUGUUAGUGGAAGCGUCUGGAAAGGCGCGCGAUACAGGGUGACAGCCCCGUACACAAAAAUGCACAUGCUGUGAGCUCGAUGAGUAGGGCGGGACACGUGGUAUCCUGUCUGAAUAUGGGGGGACCAUCCUCCAAGGCUAAAUACUCCUGACUGACCGAUAGUGAACCAGUACCGUGAGGGAAAGGCGAAAAGAACCCCGGCGAGGGGAGUGAAAAAGAACCUGAAACCGUGUACGUACAAGCAGUGGGAGCACGCUUAGGCGUGUGACUGCGUACCUUUUGUAUAAUGGGUCAGCGACUUAUAUUCUGUAGCAAGGUUAACCGAAUAGGGGAGCCGAAGGGAAACCGAGUCUUAACUGGGCGUUAAGUUGCAGGGUAUAGACCCGAAACCCGGUGAUCUAGCCAUGGGCAGGUUGAAGGUUGGGUAACACUAACUGGAGGACCGAACCGACUAAUGUUGAAAAAUUAGCGGAUGACUUGUGGCUGGGGGUGAAAGGCCAAUCAAACCCGGAGAUAGCUGGUUCUCCCCGAAAGCUAUUUAGGUAGCGCCUCGUGAAUUCAUCUCCGGGGGUAGAGCACUGUUUCGGCAAGGGGGUCAUCCCGACUUACCAACCCGAUGCAAACUGCGAAUACCGGAGAAUGUUAUCACGGGAGACACACGGCGGGUGCUAACGUCCGUCGUGAAGAGGGAAACAACCCAGACCGCCAGCUAAGGUCCCAAAGUCAUGGUUAAGUGGGAAACGAUGUGGGAAGGCCCAGACAGCCAGGAUGUUGGCUUAGAAGCAGCCAUCAUUUAAAGAAAGCGUAAUAGCUCACUGGUCGAGUCGGCCUGCGCGGAAGAUGUAACGGGGCUAAACCAUGCACCGAAGCUGCGGCAGCGACGCUUAUGCGUUGUUGGGUAGGGGAGCGUUCUGUAAGCCUGUGAAGGUGUGCUGUGAGGCAUGCUGGAGGUAUCAGAAGUGCGAAUGCUGACAUAAGUAACGAUAAAGCGGGUGAAAAGCCCGCUCGCCGGAAGACCAAGGGUUCCUGUCCAACGUUAAUCGGGGCAGGGUGAGUCGACCCCUAAGGCGAGGCCGAAAGGCGUAGUCGAUGGGAAACAGGUUAAUAUUCCUGUACUUGGUGUUACUGCGAAGGGGGGACGGAGAAGGCUAUGUUGGCCGGGCGACGGUUGUCCCGGUUUAAGCGUGUAGGCUGGUUUUCCAGGCAAAUCCGGAAAAUCAAGGCUGAGGCGUGAUGACGAGGCACUACGGUGCUGAAGCAACAAAUGCCCUGCUUCCAGGAAAAGCCUCUAAGCAUCAGGUAACAUCAAAUCGUACCCCAAACCGACACAGGUGGUCAGGUAGAGAAUACCAAGGCGCUUGAGAGAACUCGGGUGAAGGAACUAGGCAAAAUGGUGCCGUAACUUCGGGAGAAGGCACGCUGAUAUGUAGGUGAAGUCCCUCGCGGAUGGAGCUGAAAUCAGUCGAAGAUACCAGCUGGCUGCAACUGUUUAUUAAAAACACAGCACUGUGCAAACACGAAAGUGGACGUAUACGGUGUGACGCCUGCCCGGUGCCGGAAGGUUAAUUGAUGGGGUCAGCGCAAGCGAAGCUCUUGAUCGAAGCCCCGGUAAACGGCGGCCGUAACUAUAACGGUCCUAAGGUAGCGAAAUUCCUUGUCGGGUAAGUUCCGACCUGCACGAAUGGCGUAAUGAUGGCCAGGCUGUCUCCACCCGAGACUCAGUGAAAUUGAACUCGCUGUGAAGAUGCAGUGUACCCGCGGCAAGACGGAAAGACCCCGUGAACCUUUACUAUAGCUUGACACUGAACAUUGAGCCUUGAUGUGUAGGAUAGGUGGGAGGCUUGGAAGUGUGGACGCCAGUCUGCAUGGAGCCGACCUUGAAAUACCACCCUUUAAUGUUUGAUGUUCUAACGUUGACCCGUAAUCCGGGUUGCGGACAGUGUCUGGUGGGUAGUUUGACUGGGGCGGUCUCCUCCUAAAGAGUAACGGAGGAGCACGAAGGUUGGCUAAUCCUGGUCGGACAUCAGGAGGUUAGUGCAAUGGCAUAAGCCAGCUUGACUGCGAGCGUGACGGCGCGAGCAGGUGCGAAAGCAGGUCAUAGUGAUCCGGUGGUUCUGAAUGGAAGGGCCAUCGCUCAACGGAUAAAAGGUACUCCGGGGAUAACAGGCUGAUACCGCCCAAGAGUUCAUAUCGACGGCGGUGUUUGGCACCUCGAUGUCGGCUCAUCACAUCCUGGGGCUGAAGUAGGUCCCAAGGGUAUGGCUGUUCGCCAUUUAAAGUGGUACGCGAGCUGGGUUUAGAACGUCGUGAGACAGUUCGGUCCCUAUCUGCCGUGGGCGCUGGAGAACUGAGGGGGGCUGCUCCUAGUACGAGAGGACCGGAGUGGACGCAUCACUGGUGUUCGGGUUGUCAUGCCAAUGGCACUGCCCGGUAGCUAAAUGCGGAAGAGAUAAGUGCUGAAAGCAUCUAAGCACGAAACUUGCCCCGAGAUGAGUUCUCCCUGACUCCUUGA
rnacentral:rRNA from 1 species